GGGCUCCAGGGACCGGAUCCGACUGCUGCAGUUCGGGCCUUAUUUUAGGGUGAAGCCCGGGCAGCCGACCCGGCUGCGCCGUAGUGGGAGGCCACGGCGAUUAUCCAGGUGAAGGUCUUCCAGCCCAGCCCUGGAAGGUGGAAGAAGAAAAGUUGACAUGGAAUGUUUGGGAAGCACCGCUGGUCCAGGUCCAGGAUCGGGGCAGCCAGCAUGUCCUCUAAUCUGGCCUCACUGUUGAAAUCCAGUCGAGCAGGCAGGGCCCAAACCACUGCGAGACCAGCUCGGUCGGGCGCAAACCACCGCCCACUGCGGGACCAGCUCGGUCGGGCGCAAACCACCGCCCACUGCGGGACCAGCUCGGUCGGGCCCAAACCACCGUCCACUGCGGGACCAGCUCGGUCGGGCCCAAACCACUGCCCGCUGCGGGACCAGCUCGGUCGGGCCCAAACCACUGCGCACUGUGGGACCAGCUCGGUCGUGGAGACCCUAACCCAGCGGCGCUAGAGGAAUUAAAGACACACACACAGAAAUAUAGGUACCUCACGAGGGUUUUUUGCAUGUCUGAUACCUACGGCUCCAACAGGACCCACUGACUGAUGAUGGCUCCACCUGGACCUGCCAACUACUCCUGCAGCCCCACCCAGAAGCGGUUCAGCACACGGGAGGAUCCUGUCUCACACCCUACGAUGGCCCCCUGCCCCCGCAACCCAUCAGCAGCAAGCACCCACUGCCAAGCUACCCCACCCCUUCCCCCAAACU
rnacentral:lncRNA from 1 species